AAGUCGUAACAAGGUUUCCGUAGGUGAACCUGCGGAAGGAUCAUUAAUGAAUUCAAAGGAAGCUGUUGCUGGUCCCUUACGGGUCAUGUGCACGCUCCGUUCAUUUCAUCUUCAACCCCUGUGCAUCUUUUGUAGGGAGGUGGUCACACGCCGACCUAUGUCAUUAUAAACCCUGACAGUACAAAGAAUGUUAUAUGCAUAAUGCAAUUAUAUACAACUUUCAGCAACGGAUCUCUUGGCUCUC
rnacentral:misc_RNA from 1 species